GAUGAACGCUGGCGGCGUGCCUAAUACAUGCAAGUAGAACGCUGAAGGAAGGAGCUUGCUCUUUCCGGAUGAGUUGCGAACGGGUGAGUAACGCGUAGGUAACCUGCCUGGUAGCGGGAGAUAACUAUUGGAAACGAUAGCUAAUACCGCAUAACAGUAGAUGUUGCAUGAUAUCUACUUAAAAGGUGCAAUUGCACCACUACCAGAUGGACCUGCGUUGUAUUAGCUAGUUGGUGAGGUAACGGCUCACCAAGGCGACGAUACAUAGCCGACCUGAGAGGGUGAUCGGCCACACUGGGACUGAGACACGGCCCAGACUCCUACGGGAGGCAGCAGUAGGGAAUCUUCGGCAAUGGACGGAAGUCUGACCGAGCAACGCCGCGUGAGUGAAGAAGGUUUUCGGAUCGUAAAGCUCUGUUGUAAGAGAAGAACGAGUGUGAGAGUGGAAAGUUCACACUGUGACGGUAUCUUACCAGAAAGGGACGGCUAACUACGUG
rnacentral:rRNA from 1 species